UACGUAGGGUGCGAGCGUUGCCCGGAUUUAUUGGGCGUAAAGGGCGCGCAGGUGGCUCUGUAUGUCUGCCGUGAAAGCAUACAGCUCAACUGUAUUGUGUCGGUAGAAACUGCAGGACUUGAGGCUGGGAGGGGCUGGUGGAAUUCCCUGUGUAGCGGUGAAAUGCGUAGAGAUGGGGGAGAACACUCGUGGCGAAGGCGGCCAGCUAGACCAGUUCUGACACUGAGGCGCGACAGCGUGGGGAGCAAACAGG
rnacentral:rRNA from 1 species